GACGAACGCUGGCGGCGUGCUUAACACAUGCAAGUCGAGCGAGGCCCCUCCUUCGGGAGGGUGUCCUAGCGGCGAACGGGUGAGUAACACGUGGGCAACCUGCCCUCAGCUCUGGGAUAACUCCGGGAAACCGGGGCUAAUACCGGAUACGACCUCCACGGGCAUCUGCGGAGGUGGAAAGUUUUUCGGCUUAGGAUGGGCCCGCGGCCUAUCAGCUAGUUGGUGGGGUAGUGGCCCACCAAGGCGACGACGGGUAGCCGGCCUGAGAGGGCGACCGGCCACACGGGGACUGAGAGACGGCCCAGACGCCUACGGGAGGCAGCAGUGGGGAAUAUUGCGCAAUGGGCGAAAGCCUGAGGCAGCGACGCCGCGUGAGGGACGAAGGCCUACGGGUUGUAAACCUCUUUCAGCAGGGACGAAGCGAAAGUGACGGUACCUGCAGAAGAAGCACCGGCCAACUACGUG
rnacentral:rRNA from 1 species